rnacentral:misc_RNA from 1 species
UUGGCGGGAAAAUGCGUGGGCGAUAUUUAUCAUGUUUUCCAUGAUUUGAUUUGAUUUUUUUUUUUCACUCAUUCGAAAGGGAACUAUAAAAUAACAAGCGCCUAGCUGUUACUAUCGCAUAUCGAAAGUUUGAUACCGGAACCGGGGCCACAUUCAAAUUGUUGUUGCAGACUUAUGUCAGAUAAUUAAAUUUCUGGUUAGCUCUUCCGAUUGCCGAGAAGCAAAUUGGUGAAAAAUCUUGAUUUUUUGAAUAUCUAAAAUUCCGAUAGUCACCGCAGAGAAGAAAUAAAUAAAUAAUCAUGGAAGGACGGGAAUCUCAGAAAAGUAAUCUCAGAGAAACCCACAGUAGUCAGUCGGGAUCGCGAAAGAAAAGCUUAACCGAAAAUAAAAAAUCCUCGAGGAAAAGCGAGCGAAAAAAUAACCACGUUCGUCAGAAAUUAGGACUGCCGAGCUCCUCGAACGCGAUGACGAGACGGGCGUCACGGCGCCUGACACGGGCGUCGUUGCAGUUUUCGGUAGAGAAUAGAUGCGAAAAGAAGGUUCCCGCGAUCCCGAACCGCGUUUUCAAGCCCCUCCAACUUUUGCGUCACGUAAAAUUUCUCCAAGUCGUCGCGCGCUAUUUAAAACCGCGGGUCAAAAACGUCCGUCAGGAGAAGUGCGGCGGGUCAUAAAUUUUCAAAACUUCGGUCCACCCGAUCUUGUACUUUUACGUUUAUACCUAUGAUGUCUGCACAGAACGUUAUCGACGAAUUAUAACAAGCAGCUACGCAUGAUUUUGGGUUUUAUUGUGUGUUUAAAUAACGAUGAUUAUAACCCUCUACGUCACCUCCUAAACUUAUCCAACUUUUCCAAAACAAAAGACGCCGAGAUCAGGUGCAACUGAUCCAGAGAUUUCGAUAGGAAGCUGCGGUACAUUGAACAAAACAGAAACAUGUAAAACUCCUGUAAGAACAAACAACGAGAGUAACAAUUCUUUCCUCGAAACAAUAUAAAUCAAUCUCCUUCAAAAGUCAUCACGAACUUUCUUCGAUGCGUACCUAAACAAACUGUGCGACGUGCUGGGUUGAAUUUUCCCAUGUCCGUUUCCGUAGCUAGUCGAAGGCGGCAUGGUCGGCGGUUGAGGUUCGCUAGCUGACCUUUGAACGAGGGCCGGCGCCCUUACCGAGGGUUUACCGGGCGCGGCUGACGUGGUACCCGGUAUCAUUUCGAUGCUAGAACUUUCCCUAGAGGAAUUAAGCGUCUGUUGAAGUAACGUGAGGAUCAAUCGAACGUCUCCAGCCAUCGAGUGCUCGAGCGAUGUGACUUGGCGAGUCAGUUGAUCUAUCCUUGCGUUUAUUUCAUCCAGUGGUCGGCCCGGGCCGCUCUGGAAUUCACC